rnacentral:rRNA from 1 species
AUACGUAGGGGGCGAGCGUUGUCCGGAAUGAUUGGGCGUAAAGGGCGCGUAGGCGGCCCGGUAAGUCUGGAGUGAAAGUCCUGUUUUUAAGAUGGGAAUUGCUUUGGAUACUGUCGGGCUUGAGUGCAGGAGAGGUAAGUGGAAUUCCCAGUGUAGCGGUGAAAUGCGUAGAGAUUGGGAGGAACACCAGUGGCGAAGGCGACUUACUGGACUGUAACUGACGCUGAGGCGCGAAAGUGUGGGGAGCAAACAGGAUUAGAUACCCUGGUAGUCCACACUGUAAACGAUGAAUGCUAGGUGUAGGGGGUAUCGACCCCUUCUGUGCCGCAGUCAACACAAUAAGCACUCCGCCUGGGGAGUACGGCCGCAAGGUUGAAACUCAAAGGAAUUGACGGGG